UCCAGCAGCAGCAGCCUCACAGGCAAGCUCCCACUCCCGUCCUUGGGGGGAUUUUGCAGCCACUCCCAGGAUCAAGGGAUGGCCUGGGUUGGAAGGGACACUGACAGCUCCAACCUGGGCAGGGGUCAGGCAGCCACAGCUGCUCUGGGAAACCAUUCCAGGCCCUCCCCAACCUCACAGGGAAGGAUUUUUCCCUAAUUUCUAAUCUAAAUUUCCUCUCUGUCAGACCUCUCUGGAGUCAGGCCAGACUUAGAACGCUGGGAAUGACAAAUGAUGAAUUUUCAGGGCGACAUGGGCAGUGCCAGGCCGGGUUUCAGAGCGGGUUUAGAGAAGGAAAAGCCAGGCCUUGACACGAUCACUGAGCCUGCAGAGCCUCGUUUGGUCCUGCAAGUCCAGCCCUCGUCAGGGCACUCAGACUGAUGAAAUGCACUCUCGGCUGCAGACAUGAAAUUUUUAUGUGCAGGGGCUGCAGGAGAAGCAGCCACACGUGCUCAGAGCCUGUGGAGGUGAGAGCAGAGCUGUGCCUGCAGCCUCUGCCAUGGCAACGGGGAGAAAUCCAGCAGCCCCAAGUCUCAGCUGUGGCCUUGGCUGUGGUUUUUAGGAACCAGCUCAUCCACUUUGCUUCUUGCAUGGAAAAAUAAGUUUCAGUGACAGGAGCGCUGCGGUCCCUUUGUUGGAGGAUGAUUUUAGUGCCUGGCUGGAUGAGUUUGAAAAACACCAAUCACUUGGUUUUUUAAAUUUUAAAAGUUUAUUAGUAAUAAAAUAGUUAUAAAAAAAUAGUAAUAAAAUUAGAGCAAUAAAAAUCUGGACAGUGAGGAUCAGGACACUACGAGAUAAUAAAAAGCAAAGGAUUUUGGACGUGUGGAUGUUUUUGGGCACUGAGCUGCCAAAACCACGCCUUGUGAACAAAGGAAUAACUCUGAAAAGUAA